CUUAGAAAAAAAUCACCAAAUAAAACUGUAACGUCCAGGUACAAACCUUAGUUUGAAUUUCAGAUGACCAGACCAGUUUUUGCCAGCUCAAGGGCAAAAGGAACUUUCUGUCUUGUGCUUGUCAUUUCAGCGUGCUUGAUAAAUUGGACUGGACAAUAGCAAGAAAUUCGAGCCUUUGGAAUUUGGCACCGUGAUAACUUCAAAUGGAGCAAGAGAGGCUUUCAGCAGAUUUCAUUGGACCAGGAUGUCUGUUUCAUUUGUGUCCUCAGCCUCAAGAAGUGAUCUACUUAGGGUAACACAAAAGAGCACAAGAUUUUCUUUGCUGUUGGACUCUGCUUGUGUACCUGCCUGGCUCAGAACCAAAGCAGCCCCACACUGUAUUCAAAGAUAACAAAAUCCCUCUGAGGAAACAGGACAAGGGUUUCUUAGAAACUGCAGAGAAAAGAAGAUUUUCCACCACCACAGAAGUCUCAAGAGGCUCUCAAAUUUCACAGUGCAUCUCCUGAUCACUCCUGCUACAGACACAGAGACAAGUUAUAGAUCUGUCAGAGAGACAGACACCAUGGAAUAGAAGAACUAGGCUUUUAGGGUAUCAAAAGUCCAAGGUUUGAUAUGAAUGCACUCUGCAGAAAUAUCAAGAAGCAAUGUAUCAAAAUGAGAGAAAAGUUAUUUGAUAUCAAAAGCAAUGUGGUACAAGAACAGAUGUAUAUAAAUUGGGCAUGAAGAACUGAAACUGUUCUGGAAAUUCAAAGCAAGUGCCUUGUUACUGACCACUGUUGUGAAAUAGUGGGAAGUCUGAAUGUCAAACUGUUU
rnacentral:lncRNA from 14 species